UACAGAGGGUGCGAGCGUUGUUCGGAAUUAUUGGGCGUAAAGGGCGCGUAGGCGGUGCGGUAAGUCACCUGUGAAAUCUCCUGGCUCAACUGGGAGCUUGCAGGCGAAACUGCCGUGCUGGAGUGUGGGAGAGGUGCGUGGAAUUCCCGUGUAGCGGUGAAAUGCGUAGAUAUCGGGAGGAACACCUGUGGCGAAAGCGGCGCACUGGACCACAACUGACGCUGAGGCGCGAAAGCUAGGGGAGCAAACAGG
rnacentral:rRNA from 1 species